UCAGGUGGCCGCAGAGAAUAGGCCCAAGCGACUGUUUACCAAAAACAUAGGUUUCUGCUAAGUCGCAAGACGACGUAUAGGAGCUGACGCCUGCCCGGUGCUGGAAGGUUAAGGGGAUCUGUUAGAGUAAUCGAAGCAGUGAACUUAAGCCCCAGUAAACGGCGGCCGUAACUAUAACGGUCCUAAGGUAGCGAAAUUCCU
rnacentral:rRNA from 1 species